AAAAAAUAUGAAAAAAUGGUUUGGUGUGUUUGGUUUUUGUUUUCUAAUAUUUUCUCUUUUAGCAUACCAAGGAAAUUGAUGGGCAGCUUUGAGUGCACUGGACGAAACCCUCCACGUGUUGAUUAUCGCUAUAAGUUUUGCUUUUCAUUUGUUUUGGUUUUUUAUUUGCCUUUCACUUCCAUCCUUUUCGACGCUUUCUGCCGAUGGAAUGCCCUCCAUGCGUUGAUGAUCGCUGCACGUUUUCUUUUCCAUUUGUUGUUUCUUUCUUUGGCUUUCACUUCUCCGUUUGUCAUUUCCAUUUUCUAUCUAUUUUAUGCUUUCUUUCUUUCAUUUUCAGCUUUGGUUUUCUCUCGGCUCUCUGCAUCGUGGAAUUUUCUUGCAAAUUGUUAACGGAGUUGGUUGUGUUGUUUGGAAUUAUAGGUACAAGUUUGUUUUGUUGUAAAUUGGUUUCAUGUUGAAAUUUUGCUUUCUUUCUUAUUUUGGUUGUUCAUUUUGUAGUCUGGGGUUUUAUAUCUGCCUGUCUAACCCCUUUUUGUUUUCGGUUUUAGCAAAUUCAGCUUUCUUGGGUUUUGUUGCUAGGUUUUUACAACUUUAUGCAAACCAAACUUACCCCCUCUCCACAUCAGCCGCAUCUGCUACCGCCAUGAUGCUCCAGCACCAGCUCAUGCUGUCCAGAUCAGGCACCACCGACUCCGACUUUGGUCCCAUGCGAUUGUCUUUGGGAAACAACGGCGACUUUGACCUCCCCAACAACAACGUCGGCGACGGCUCCUCCUUCAAAUCCCCAAUUAAGUGGGAGGCGAUGGGGCUUCUCCUGUGCAAUCCCUGCUCGAUGGCUUCGGUGUAUCACUGCCGGAGCUGCUAAUUCUCAGUCUUCAAAUUUUCACCACCCUCGGCAUGCGGAAGACGUCUUUGUUAAAGCUCUCAUUGGGAUCCUUACUCUCCAUCAUUAAAAUCCUUUUUGUGUGAUAUUCUCCUCCAGGCACGGUUGCUAAUACACAAACCGUCAAGGUUAAUUUGGUUUUGUUAAACUAAAGACAUUAGACGAGUGGAACCGGCUGUGUGUUUAAAGAGAUCAAUGUUUUCCGGUAGGAAAAUUACCUUGGAAAUAAAAUUUAAAUACGAACAGUUAAUUUAGGAUUUUGAGUUCAUCUUUUGUUUUAGUACAUUUUGGUUCUAAGUGUGAUAUAGUGUGUUGUAAUCUUUAUUUAAUUGUGAUUUUGUAUAUUUUAAGUGGUGGUUUGGAUUUUGAAGAGUGAGAAAACGGUCUGAUGGGUUUUAGAGGAAAGGCGGAUAAUUUAACAGGAGUUUGGAAGCGGAAGAACGAAUAUGGAGGGUGUGGACUAAGGGGACUAAGGGGACUAAGAAGAAUUAAUAUGGAAGUGCAAGAAGCAAAGUGGAAGGGAUUGUAAACAGAGAUUUCUGUGUUUGGGUAUGUUUUUGUUUUGGAUUGAAAACUCGCCAAGUGAUUUAAUUCGUUUGUUAAAAAUUUUUCUUUUGGCACAACAUAAUACAGCUGCCCAUAUGUAGAUAUUGGAACUGCUUUUUUCUUGGUUAUCGAAUAAAUUGUCUCUUAUAUGGCUACCUAAUGUUUUCGUUUUCUUAAUUGAUGAAGGGGAGGUAGAAAAUAGAAGUUUUUAUUUAUUUGUUAAGAAAAUAUAAGAGAAGCAAUGUCAAGAACUUAUUGUACAUAUUAUUAAACUUA